GUGAUGAACGUCUGACGGGGUGCUAUUGAAAGAAUGCAGUUCUUUUUUUAAUUUUUUUGACAUUUUCUUAUGAAAUGUCCAAACUCUAGCACAAUUUUGAUGAGUACGAACCAAAUUCUAUAUAUCUGACUUUCACGUGUGCGAUUUUCGGGAGAGAGGUGCAAGACACCGGAGAGUAAGUGUUCUUACUCUUUUGCCUUGGGGGUAAAAUUAUGUUUUUUAAUAAUUGAUGUUUUUGAUUAAUUGUAUUUUUUAAUAGGAUGGUUUAUCGUAAAAACCAAAUUUAAAAACUGGAUUGUCGUGGGAACUUCUACGUCUUAGUUGACCCAACUGACCAUAUUGAAAAUAAUGUUCCAGCUGAGCUCAGCAUUGCAGUUGCUAUAUUGGAAAUGAAGUCGUUCUUGAUGUUGCUGUCGAAGCUGCUGAUGAUGUUGAAUAAGCUGACCAUCCUGAUGAAUUUUCUGACGGUCUUGAACCUGCUGUUGGUCUUGAAGAGGCUGCCCAUGUUCAAGCUCCUGCUGAUUUUGAAGAUGCCCCUCGUGUUUAGAUUGCUGAUGUCCUUGAACUUACUGGUGGUGAAUCUGCGACUCACGUUGAAAUUUUCGUUGACGACGAAUCUAAACCCGCGACUGUUGAAGCAGCCAUUGUUAAAGCAGUCCCCGUUGUUGAAAACACCCCGGUUUUGCGUGUGAUUUUGAUGCAGUUCAGGAUAUAAUGCCUUGAAUGCUAAGGCUGCCCUCAAUGGACGUACACUCUUCGGGUUGAAUAUGACAGUAUUGCUGGAGGCCAAACUUAAGCUGUAACGUAAGCCCAUUUUCUUAACGUCUCAACAAAGACGUCAAACGUCUCGACAAAACCUUGCCGCGGUCUUAUUCCCGAAUAAAUUUUGUUAUGAUAAAUCUAAAAAAAUAUAAAUCUAAAAGUGAAAUCGUAAUCAUAAUA